CAGUAGCCGCGGGAAUACGUAGGGUGCAAGCGUUGUCCGGAAUUAUUGGGCGUAAAGAGCGUGUAGGCGGCUCGACAAGUCCGCUGUGAAAGUCCAGGGCUCAACCCUGGAAUGCCGGUGGAUACUGUCGAGCUAGAGUCCGGAAGGGGCGAGUGGAACUCCUGGUGUAGCGGUGAAAUGCGCAGAUAUCAGGAAGAACACCAAUGGCGAAGGCAGCUCGCUGGGACGUGACUGACGCUGAGACGCGAAAGCGUGGGGAGCGAACAGGAUUAGAUACCCGCGUAGUCCCUGUCUCUUAUAC
rnacentral:rRNA from 1 species